rnacentral:lncRNA from 1 species
AUCAUGUAAGAAAGUCUAGAAUCUUCUAAUUAUUGGUGAAAUUGGGUCAAGAUAUUUUCUUUUAUUUCUAAGCACAUAUGUUUUUGAAAAUGUGAGAGACACGUGGAUUGUUGUGAUAUGGCACAUCAUAUCACAACGUAUGAGAGACUCUAGAAUCAUCCCAUGGUGAAAGAGGGGUACAUGUAAGUGUUUGUAAAAUGAGCCUGAGAAAAACGUGAGAAAGUGUGGGAAAUAGAUGAAAGAGGUACACGUGGAUAGCUGUGAUGCGGCAAAUGUGGGAAGGCGUAGGAGCCGCUAUGCAUAUCAUGUAAAAGAGUCUAGACUCUUCUAACGGUGAAAUUAGAUAGGCUUAUUUUAUUUUAUUUUAAAAUAUAUAUAUGGACUUGUUUGAUUAGGAGUGAAAAUAAUAUGAAUAUUAUUUAUUCAAAUUUAUCUUCGUAUUCAAAUUAAUUUGGAUAUAAAUAAAAAUUUAAGGAUCCAACUAAUAUUUGUAUUCAUAUCUAUAAAAAAAAAUGGAUAUAGAUAUGAAUAGAUAACUAUCCGAUUUAUAUCCGAAUAUUUGAAUCUAUAUAUAAUUCUAUAAAAUUUUAUAUAGUACUUAUUUAUUUUUAAAAAAUAUAUAUUAUUAUAUAAAUAUAUUAUUAACUUGAUUGAUUAUUUAUUUAAUAAUAUCUUUAAUUAUGUAGUUAUAAAAUUUAAUUAUCUAAGUAAUAUAUGUAAUUAUAUCCAUACUUUCAGUGUCUAAAUUGUAUCCAUAUCCAUUUAAAAUAAAUAUAAAUAUGAAUUAUUACAUCCAAAUAAUAUCCGUAUCCAUAUUUUUAUUAAUCAGACAAAAUAAAUAUAGAUAUGGAUAUUGUGAUAUCCGAUCCGUAUCCGAUCUGAUUUCAAUCUUACAUUUGGUUGAUGGAAAGUAGAAGGAAGAAGUGGUAGUUUGAAGAGAUUAUUCUUGUUUGGUUGAAGUUUUAAGAAAAAAAAACUCUUUAUAUGGGAAGUCACUUUUCAUAUUUUACGGAAAGUAAAAAUUUAUGGAGGAGAUAGAUUUUAGCACUUCUUAUGAGAUGAAAAGUGAUGGUACUUUUUUAGGAUAAAAUACUGAAUGGUAAUAUCAUAUUAUAUUAAUAUUAUCUUAAUAUUUAUAUAAAUAUAUUAUAAUAUAAUAAUAUUUAUUAUAUUUUAUUAUUUACACUAAUAUAUAUUUUUAUUAAUAUUAAUAUAAUAUUUAUAUUAAUAUUAUAUCAUAUUUAUAUCUAUAUUAAUAAAUUUAUUAUAUUAAAAUAAUAAUAUUGUAUUUACAUAAUAUUAAUAUAUAUCAGUAUUAUAUUGACACAAUAAAUUAUUAUGAUAUGAUGUUAUAUUAUAAUAUAUUUAUAUUAUAUUUAUAUUUAUAUAAAUAUAAUAUUAAUAUUUAUAUAAAAUUUAGGAGUAAAAAUAUAUGAUUAAAUAUAUGGUACAUGAAAUAUUUUCAGAACCAGACCGGCUAGGACGAUCGAUCGGAUCGGGGAUCACUUUUAAUUCCGAUCUAAAGCUCAGACAUGACCCAGUAUGGUUUCAACCCGUAAAAAACUAUGAAGAUCUAGUGAAACAGUCGGCCCAUGAUAAACCGACCGGAUCAUGGGUCGGAUAGCACAGCCACUGGGUAUUAGGUAUAAGGGUAUUCCUCUCCGUAUAUAAUUUUCAUGUCCUCGACUUUCUGUUCGUCGUUGCUGCCCAGAGCCCCAAACUCGUCGAUGUUGCCUGCCAGACCAGCACCGCCGAGUCUCUGCCUCCUUGGGAGUGGGAUCUAAAGCCUAAAGGUGCAUCCUCACCUAAAUGGAAGCGGACGGCAAUGGAGUCGACGAUGAGGAUG